CUGCCGUACUGUAAUCAUAUGAUAGGAGUCGAUCCCCGCCGCAGAAUACCGACACACCGGACGGACAGCAGCGGAGGAGCCGGGGCGGAGGACAACCAGUUGAUGGUAACCUUUUACAGCCGCGGAAGAAAAACAAAGUGCGUGGACUCGGGUUUUUUUUUUUUUUUUUUAAAGUGUCACAACAGAGCCCAAACUAAACUUUUUUUUUAAAAAGAAAAAACACUCUGGAGAGUCGGACAGAGGAGAGAGAGAGCGAUAGAGAGAGAGGGGGACCCGUUUUUUAGAGGAAGAAGAGAAAGAGAGAAAGAGAGAGAGAGAGAGAGGGGCUCACACACGCGAAACGUUAACCGAGAGGAGAGUUGAUUUAACCGGAGCUGAGACGAGAGAGAGGCGGUCAGCGGCCGGUAGGAAUCCCCCGGGGUCCUCGCAUCGCUUGUCGGGGCGUGUCUUUCCCUUUUUUAUUUUUUUUUUUAUUUGGGGGGGUCCUCUGUAAGUUUUUUCCGACUAGCAAGGUCACUUUAUUGUUGAAGCAUAAGCCAUGGUCGGGGAGACAGAGGUGAAGGAGAGACCCAAGUCCAACCCGGACUAUCUAAUGCAGCUGAUGAACGACAGGAAGGUGAUGAGCUCCCUGCCCAACUUCAGCGGCAUCUUCACGCAUCUGGAGCGGCUGCUGGAUGAAGAAAUCGGCAGGGUACGCAAGGACAUGUACAACGACACAGUGAACGGUGGCAUGUUCAACGGGCGGGACAUGGAGGAGCUUCCCGAGGCUAUCGGCCCUGUGGCUCAGCUGCAGGAGAAGCUCUACGUGCCGGUCAAAGAGUACCCCGACUUUAACUUUGUAGGGAGGAUCCUGGGCCCACGCGGACUGACGGCCAAACAACUGGAGGCGGAGACCGGCUGCAAGAUCAUGGUGCGAGGAAAGGGCUCCAUGAGAGACAAGAAGAAGGAGGAGAUGAACCGAGGGAAGCCCAACUGGGAGCACCUCAGCGAGGACCUCCACGUCCUGAUCACAGUGGAGGACACACACAACCGGGCCAAGAUCAAGCUCCAGCGGGCCAUCAACGAGGUCAAGAAACUUCUCGUGCCCGCUGCUGAGGGGGAGGACAACCUGAAGAAAAUGCAGUUGAUGGAGUUGGCCAUUCUCAAUGGGACCUACAGAGACGCCAAUGUCAAGACGCCCACCGCCUUCCCUCUAGGGACCCCUCAGGCGCCUCGGAUCAUCACAGGCCCGACGCCCGUCCUGCCUCCGAGCCUGCGUAACCCCGCCCCCGUCAACACACCGACCAUCAUGCCUCUGAUUCGCCAGAUCCAGAGCUCAGCCCUCGUACCAGGAGGCAACCCGCACCCGGCGCUGGUGCAGCAAGGGCCCGAAUCUGGGAUCAUCUACACGCCCUACGAGUAUCCCUACACACUCACGCCCUCCAUAUUGGAAUACCCAAUUGACUCAACUGGAGUUUUAGCACAUCCUCUAACUGAACUCAGAGCUCAGCAGAAACUCCAGUUCUGUUAUUUCAAGUAUGGCUUUCCCAACCAAAGGCUAAGCGAUAGCAACCCUUCCUAGCACACACAUGGACUGGCUUGCAGAGACCCCACCCCCCUCACCUUUACCCCACUACAUACUUGUCCCACAAAGCAAACACUCAAAGUUUGCUCAUACUUUAGGAUGACAGAUUCCUCGACAGUCAUACUGUAGUCAAGUGUCCAUUCCUGUUAAUUUCCUCUUUGUAUUAGCAGACUAGUGUUGUGGUGUGACAGCUAUUUAACUUUUUUUAAUAGUUCAGCUUCCGCUUGUAAUUUUAACACACUUUAGUGAACCCAUAGAUAUUGUAGCGCCGCUGUUUGUGAUUUAAUAUAUGUUAAAAGCUUAUUUUAAUCACAGAGCUAUAGAGUGACUUUGCUUACGGCUGAUGUUGAAUCUACUAGUGAAGCUUAGUGAGAAAUUAGUGGUUUGGAUUAAUAUUUUCUUUAGAGAACAGAAGACCACAAAACAACAAGAAAUUCUGUCUCUUAGAAGCGUUUUGACCUAUUUUCACCCUCAGCCUUGAACAUUUUUUUAUAAAUUCCUGGUUUCACUGAUGUUGGUGCCAUGGGUGGACUGUUUGAUGUCUUUCUGAUGAGUAACCUUCUGUGUUCUGUUUUGGCGAUGUCAAUGGCUGUUAGCAGGUGCCAUGACCACUAAGGUACGACGCCACGACAAGAGAAUCCAUCCUUACCAAAGGGUAGUGACCCCAGACAGAGCUGCCACGGCAACUAACCCAUGACCCCUUGACCUUCUGACCUUUCCGCCCACUGAUGACCCACCCAUCUCUGCCCGCUGGCGUGCUCAUUGGCCCACGGCCCCGUCACUCCCUCAGCUCAGCCAACCAGACCAGCACAUUGGGAACAACCCGGCUGCUUCUGUCUAACCAACCAACCAGACGACAGCGAACAUGGGAAUAAACCUCAGGACCCCGCCCAUCACCAAGUCCUAACCUAAACUUUACCGAACGUGCCUUCCUUCCAAAAGUCCAAAGCCAGUCUUAGAUUGUUUUUGUAACCAAUCAACGGUCGAAAUCCCAAUCUGUUCAACAGUUGUCGUGCAAAACCAGUAGACUUUACUGGGGACGGGCUCCCAAACUGGUGAAGGGCUGCUAAACCAAUCCCUGGCUGUGCCAAACUGUCUCUCUGAGCUGCCCUGCCCUCAGUCCAAUGCAAUAAUAAUGACUCUAUUAAUACCAUGGUAACUGUACUGAUGAAGAUGCACUUAUCCAGCACAGAAAAACCUCCAUAAACACUAAACUAGAGGAGAUAUGUUGAUAUUUUGAAGGAUUUUUUUCCUCAUCGGGCACCUUGUCUAAUGUUGGAACCUUUUCCCGCACACACUCUUUAAAGGGAUUGCUUCUUUUCUGGGCGAACAUACAUCAAUAACUUAUUAUAACACAUUAUAAUUGGUGUUAAAAUCUUUAUGUAUUAACACGCUUUCACCCUGAAAUGUAACACCAAUUCCAAUUAUGUGUUUAAAAUGUUCUUGUUGACACUUUUGUAUGAGGAACACUAAAAGAGAAAAGUAAAAUGCCAUCCCUAGAAUCUGUUUUUUUUUUUUUUUUUACCAUAAUGCAACAGGUGCUCAGUGAGGAAAAAUAACAGACUGGAACCCAAAAUGCCAAAGUAUCUCUGAGUUUUUCUUAAGCAUCCCAAUACUGAGUCAACAUAUACAGUAUAAAUGCCAAGACUGUGCAGCACAGAGAGGGAAGGUUGCACUUCUUUUGUCUAAAUCUAGAGGAGUUACACAACGAUGCCUUUUUUCACACUACAGUAUUGUAUGAGUUUCGACAGCAGUGCCUUUAUUUAUUGAGAGCGAUGGAACAAUGUUACACCUAAAUCUUCUACGACUACAUCAUGGGUUUGUGGCCCAGCAUAAAAUUAUGCCGUUUGGGUUUUAUGCAGAUUAAUUGGUACUGCGGGGAAAUGUGUCACAGCCUAAUUGUCAUCAUCUACAUUUUUAUGGCUUUACAUCCAUAACUCUGCUCAAUUCAGAUUUUUAGUGCCAAAAACAAAACAAAAAGUGGCUCAUUUGAAUUGAAAGUGCGAUGCAGUAUUUGAAGCAGCAGCUACAAUGUCUGAGAUGUUUAUGUGAGGUUCGGAUGCCUCUAGAGAACAGUGUUAUAUUUGAUCUUUUUUCUUGUUUUUGUUUGUUUGGUUGUUUUGUUGGAGAUGAAAUCGUCCAUAUAUAUAUUUUUGCAUGUGUGUCCGCUUUUUCAGAAGGUGUGGUACAGUUUUACAUACACACGCAAACCAACUGAUGCCUUGACGUAAGAAAAAAACGAAACAAAUCAUGGAGUCGUAACAUCUGUAACAAGUUUAUAAUGUAUUUUUAUAUUCUAUUUUGUACGUGAAAAUAACAUUAAAUGAGCUUUUCAGAUAAGAACAUUAUGCCUUAUUACGGAGAAUAAUUUGAUGAACAUAACUAUCCUUCAUGUGUCAUUAGUAAUCAUGUCUCAAUGUCCUGAUAUACUGGAGUCUGAUGUAUUAACUUGAGCCUUUGAGAUCAGCAUUGCUUGCCUUCUGUGCCUUUUGUAUACUAUGAGUGUGACAAUUAACAGUGUAGUACAACAUUAAUCUACUCUUCAAGCCAAGUGUAGGUUACUAACUGUUACCACUUCUGUGAUCAUUAACCACUUUAAUGGUAUCUGUCUCUGCUUUGGAUUCCUUUAAAAAAAAAAAAAAAUUACGUGUUUGUGUCUAAAAAAAAUGAAAAACAAAGAUAUGUGUUGAACAAUGAACUUUUAACUUUGAGCAGAAAUAACUCUUUGUAAACUAUUAAACUCAUAGUUGUAAAACUAA